GACGAACGCUGGCGGCGUGCUUAACACAUGCAAGUCGUACGGUAAGGCCCUUUCGGGGGUCCACGAGUGGCGAACGGGUGAGUAACACGUGAGUAACCUGCCCACAACUUUGGGAUAACGCUAGGAAACUGGUGCUAAUACUGGAUAUGUGCUCCUGCUGCAUGGUGGGGGUUGGAAAGCUCCGGCGGUUGUGGAUGGACUCGCGGCCUAUCAGCUUGUUGGUGGGGUAGUGGCCUACCAAGGCGGCGACGGGUAGCCGGCCUGAGAGGGUGACCGGCCACAUUGGGACUGAGAUACGGCCCAGACACCGACGGGAGGCAGCAGGGGGGAAUAUUGCACAAGGGGCGCAAGCCGGAUGCAGCAACGCCGCGGGCGGGAGGACGGCCUUAGGGUUGGAAACCGAUUUCAGCAGGGACGAAGCUUUUUGUGACGGUACCUGCAGAAGAAGCACCGGCUAACUACGUG
rnacentral:rRNA from 1 species